rnacentral:rRNA from 1 species
GGAAUUUUCCGCAAUGGGCGCAAGCCUGACGGAGCAACGCCGCGUGAGGGAUGAAGGCCUCUGGGCUGUAAACCUCUUUUAUCAAGGAAGAAGAUCUGACGGUACUUGAUGAAUAAGCCACGGCUAAUUCCGUGCCAGCAGCCGCGGUAAUACGGGAGUGGCAAGCGUUAUCCGGAAUUAUUGGGCGUAAAGCGUCCGCAGGCGGCCCUUCAAGUCUGCUGUUAAAAAGUGGAGCUUAACUCCAUCAUGGCAGUGGAAACUGUUGGGCUUGAGUGUGGUAGGGGCAGAGGGAAUUCCCGGUGUAGCGGUGAAAUGCGUAGAUAUCGGGAAGAACACCAGUGGCGAAGGCGCUCUGCUGGGCCAUCACUGACGCUCAUGGACGAAAGCCAGGGGAGCGAAAGGGAUUAGAUACCCCAGUAGUC